CUUAGCAGCCAGUUGCCAUGUCGGGCCAAUUAGGGAAGCUUUUACUCAAGCUUCGGCCAAUUGGAUCAGAGCUGCAUUUCCUGGCCAGAUGAGACUCUGAAUGUGCUGCUGUGUGCUGGAAUCUGAGAGCUGGUCUGCAGACUCUGGUUUCGCUGAUGUGCAGGGUGCGGAAAGCGACCGCUCUAAUGGAUUUGUGAGCUUCAGCCGUGAAUGCACACACAGGCCUCACAAGAUCUGAACCAGAACCCCAGAUGGAGGGAUGAGUAGGGGAGUGGGAAGGAUUCAAGCAGAGACUAUGCAGUGGCCAUGUAUGGUCUGCCACUUUCAGACAAAGUUCCCUGGACCUUCCACCAAACCAGACCUGAGGUAGAAUAAAAAAGGCUGGCCCUUUUUUAAAUGGUUA
ensembl:lncRNA